CGAGGCCAGAUCUAGAGUUUGAUCCUGGCUGAGAUUGAACGCUGGCGGCAUGCCUAACACAUGCAAGUCGAACGGCAGCGCGGGGAGCUUGCUCCUUGGCGGCGAGUGGCGGACGGGUGAGUAACGCGUGGGUAUCUACCUGAUUGUGGGGGACAACCCGAGGAAACUCGGGCUAAUACCGCAUAAGCCCUACGGGGGAAAGCGGGGGAUCUUCGGACCUCGCGCUAUCAGAUGAGCCCGCGUCCGAUUAGCUUGUUGGUGAGGUAACGGCUCACCAAGGCGACGAUCGGUAGCUGGUCUGAGAGGACGAUCAGCCACACUGGGACUGAGACACGGCCCAGACUCCUACGGGAGGCAGCAGUGGGGAAUAUUGGACAAUGGGCGCAAGCCUGAUCCAGCAAUGCCGCGUGUGUGAAGAAGGCCUUAGGGUUGUAAAGCACUUUCAGUGGGGAAGAAAAGCAGGGCGUUAAUACCGACCUGUCAUGGCGUUACCCACAGAAGAAGCACCGGCUAACUCCGUGCCAGCAGCCGCGGUAAUACGGAGGGUGCGAGCGUUAAUCGGAAUUACUGGGCGUAAA
rnacentral:rRNA from 1 species